rnacentral:lncRNA from 1 species
CUCACCCUAAUAAUUUUGUCCUGUGACUCAGCUUCUCCAUUUCCCUUUUCUCUCUCGUUUCCUCUCAAAUCCUAAGACUAAAUCAGUCUCAAAACCUUGCACCAAAUUGUGCAAGGUUUUGAAUCUUGACCCAGAACCAUCCUCUUUGCUCCCCUAUCCGCGAAUCCCACUUGAAACUUCCCGUUUCAUCACUCAUAUUUUGAAUCUUGAGUUCUCUUAACUCGUACAAAAACAUAAAACUUGAAGUCUUUAAAGCUUUCGAUGCUACAACCGAAUCACUCAUGCAUGGUACAUCUCAUGAUUAUUAUUCCAAACCAGAGAUCAAAUGCAAUAACCUCUAAAUCUGUGGUCUUUACCCGAUGGAUUUUCACUUGUAAUGGUUGUCUUGCACUCAAGUAAGAGUCUCACUCGCUUUUUCUCUCAAAUUUGCUCUGAUUUUACCCUCUCUGCAAUCAUCAUCUAUCAUUCAUCAUCUUUUACAAUUUAUUUUGAAUAUGUAACUAUGGGCUUCACAGCCACUAUAAAUUGGGGCUUUUAAUGCCUUCAUCUAAGACACAAAAAGAUAUAUCUACUAGCUACAUCUAACAUCAAAAGCUAAUACUUAAUACAAUGUUUAGCAAUACUUCUACUAAGUUGAGUUCUUAGUCAAUUUUUGCCUUUUCUGAUUAUGAUUGUAUUACUGAUUAAGAGCUUGAGCUCUUGCUUUUCAAAAAGGCUAAUUCGAAUACUCGUUUGGUUUUCUGCCCUAAAGGAGGCCAGUAAACUUCAACCUUACUCUUUUUUUACUAGUUUAAGUCCCUGAAUAUGAAAUUUUUUACUAUCUCUAGCAAUUGAUCUUCUUUAUAAUGCAUUCAUUCCUUUUAAUUAUUUUAUGUAUUUGUUAAUGACCGACGAGUAGAUUUUGCAGCCCUGAACUUCUUUUGAAAAACAUUUGAAUGCUAAAAUGCAUAUGUUGAUUCGUGUCUAUUGUUAACUCUGAAAUGAUAUCUUCACUAUCUUCAAUACUUAUUUCCAACUCUUUCUCUCUCUCUCUAUCUCUCUCUCUCUCUCUCUCUUUCUCACUCUCUCUUUCUGUUAUAUGCUUUGCUAAUAGUGUCAUGAUUAUUACACAAACAUGUUUUCAACAUCAUUCGCCAUUCACAUUUGUUCAUUCAAUCCAAUGUAGUAUGAUUUUGUUAGGGGUUAAAAGAUCAAAGUGUUAUUAUGAUUCUAGUGUAUUUGCUUAUGACCUUUGAAUCUAAUCUCAUAUUAUUAAGGUAUCUCUGUGAUUCUAUUGAUUACUUGAUUGAACACAUGACCCUUUAUGUAGGAAUUUAUUGAGUUAGUUGGAUCUCCAUAUUGCAUUUGUAUAUGAUUUUGAGGCUGCUUUAUAUUGAACCUAAGUUAUGAAAGCUGUUGAAAUGUACAUAAGUUGUGAUAACAUAUUUUUUCAUUUAAAACACUGCUGCUAAGUUUCCUUUGUACUCGAAGCCUAAUCCCAAACACACUUAGCAAUUUUCCUUUGAUGCGAUGAUAUAUUUAUCCUUCUUAGACCUCACAUGAUGGCACUAUUAGUAAUACUUCCAUGGCAUAAUCUCUAAUAAGUGCCACGACUCCAGUUUACCUUCCAUGAACAUGUCAUGAUGACACCUAGUUCCUACAACUAGGUAAGCCUAACAAUGUGAAAUUUAUAUAAGUUGCAGAAAUAUUAUUUAAUUAAAUUAAGAAAACUAGAAGAAAACAAUAUAUAAGUGCCACUUGGCAUAUACAACCCAGAAAUAAAACGCAGAAGUAUACAAUCUCAUCUCAAAACCGAGAAACUCAUGGGAACCACAGGCUAAUAGAAAUGUAAUAUACUGCUCUAACUCCAGAAUGUCUAAAUAACUUAAACAAAAGGAUAGAAUAACUACUAAAUCUGGAAUUGAAUAGAGACUCCUGGUAUGCUGAUGCGGCAAAUAUACCUCAAAAUCUCCGCUAGAUCUCUCCGCCUCAAGGAUAGUAUGCCUUAGUAGAGGUAACUGGAUCUGCACAUGAAAGACAUGCGGAUAAGGGGCAUGAGUACACCACAUCGGUACUCAAUAAGUGCCAAGCCUAACCUCGGUCGGGUAGUGACGAGGAAGGUCAGGGCCCUACUGAGAUUAAACAAUAUAAUAAGAAUGCUGACAAUAGUAUACAGUAAGCAGAAAUAAUGGAAUACAACUGUGAAAUAAGUCAGGUUACACAAACAACAAUCAACGCAUCGAGGAUAAAAUAACACAGAGUAAAACAACUCAAUACCAGUACCAAUUACGAGGAUCUCCCAGGAUACCGUUCUGUAGUCCAUUUCCAUGUCAAUACCAACAACGAGGAUUUCCCAGGAUACCGUUCUGUAGUCCAUUUCCAUAUCAAUACAACUAACGAAGAUCUUCCAGGAUACCGUCAUGUAGUCCAUUUCCAUAUCAAUACCUUUAACGAGGAUCCCCAUGGAUAUUAUCUUGUAGUCCAUUUCCAUAUCAAUACCAAUAAGGAGGAUCUCCCAAGAUAUUUUCCUGUAGUCCGAAAUAUAAAUGUGCAGGGGGAUCUCCCGGGAAUCUAACCCGCAGUCCCAAAGUAAACAUACAGGAAAGGAUCUCCCAGGAAUCUAACCCGUAGUCCAUAAAUAUGCAGGGGGGAUCUCUUGGAAAUCUAAAAGAGGUGGAUCUAUCAUUAAUUCUUAAGGUUAAGUAGGAUAGAUAAUUCGAGACCUUGUUAAAAAUCUUUGGAGCUCUAGUUAGAUUUGUGAACCUGUAACCUUAUUAAUAUCCUUAGAAGUUCUAAUUUGUGAUGUUGUUAGUCUCCUUGAAAGUGUUGUUCUAGGAUAUAAUGAAAAUUUUAGUUAUAGUGUGAUAAUUUGUGUCAGUACCAGUAGGAGUUCUAAUUAUGGUUGCUACUUUUAACUUCUACCAAUACUCUUGAAUCUUCUAUUCAAUAUUGUUAGCAUGUGCCUCAUGAUUAAGGUUAUUGAUUGUAUUUAUCAUGGAAGCUGUUUAAACGGUCUGUAUUAGCAUUACUGGAAAAGCAUUAACUGUAGUAAUGAACCUGCAAUGUGGUUACCAUUCUUAGGAUUUUAGUUGUUCUCUUCUAAUUCCCCUAGAUGUUCCAUUUUCUUAUCAGGAGCGUGAUAAAGUAUGUUUGAAGCUUGUCUUCUUUGAAACUGUUUAAGGGGUUAACCAUUCAUUUAGUAUUGAAAAUGGUUAUGAUAGUGUAGAUAAACUGACUUAUGGCCUUAUGAUAUUCUUUUUGGACCUCAUAAAAAGGGUGUCUAUUUCUGUAGUAUGGUAUUGCUAUGGUGAUUGGUAUACAUUGAAAGUACCUCAUUGGCACUUUAACCUGUGGGGAAAAGUGAGUCAUUAUUGGUUAAGGGUAUUUGGGAGUAGAGUUUAACUCUUGGUUGGGCUCCUCUCUCAAGCACAAACAUCGCCCUAGGCCCUUGAGACCUUUUGAAACUUUGAAGCGUCAGAGAAUUCAGAGGGAGAUUUGACCUUCAGUGAAACUCUAUACUUAGCCUCUAAUCCAUUUAUAUUCAUUACUCCUUUUGGGUUUAGUGUUUAAAGACAACAAAAGAUUUUCAAUGCAACUCACUUUACUAUGUGUAACUUCCAAACUAGUAUAACCUUUUAGCAUAGUUAAGCAUUGUUAGUUGUUAUAUUUUGUUCAAGUCACUUACUUACAUAUUUCAUGUAUAACUGUAUGUAUAGAAUAUUAUUUCUAAUGACUUUCUCUCUUUCUUUUUUGAACAUAUACAAUCACUGGGUCUGCUGAGUUCUCAAGGAACUCUGGCCCAAACCUUAUGUCAUGCAUCUAAAAUUCUAGAGCUUAUUGUUAUCCAUUCCCACUGAUUGUUGGGCCUACCUCUUUCAGGCCCAAGCCAGAGCCACUCCUCACCCCUUUACUACUUUCAUUAUAUUUCGUUAUUAAUAUUCUUUUAUAUGUAUAUGAAGGUGCUCUCACCAUAUUUGAUUUAAUGUUUUAAUUUAUCUUUAAAAUUAAAUAGAAAACUUAGGGAAGCCUUAAAAGACAUAGGGUUAAAAUAAAUAUUAGGUAGUAACCAAUUCUCCAUUCGUUAAUCAUGUCCUAUUCACAUUACUAAUCUGAUGUGUUUAGCUAACUCUUUCAUGAAAAUUUUGAAGCUGAAAAUAACAUAGCAAAGAUGAUAGUCCCUUUUUUAAAAACCAUAAACAAAUCUCACGACUAGCCUUCCAAAAAAAUGAACUCUUUCAAAACAUAAGUGAUGUAGCUCAGCCGACUUUCAAAACUAUUCCCUCAACUCUAAAAUAUAAGUGAUUUCAGAUGACAUGGUAUAUCUUAGACUCAUAUGCUUAUAACAUCUUCAUUUUAUUAGAAUUAUAUGAACAUCAAUUCUUUAAAAACAAAGUGUUUUCUACAUAUUUCAUACAAACCACUUAUUUUUAAACUCUUUUAAUUACACCAACAGUAGUUUUCAAGAAUCUUUCUAAACUCAUACCCCUUUUAAAUCUCAGAUAUUAUUUAUUAACAUCAUACUCUCACUUAGAUGAACAGUAAAUCGUGCCUCUUGAGUACUGACCAAGAAGAAUGCAACCAACUAACCCUUUAAACCUAGUCUAAGUCCCAUGGAGCUACCUCGGUUUGAUUUUAAGGGGUGCCUAAUACCUUUCACUUAGAAGAAUAAGAACUCUUACCCAAAGUCUUAAAGGUUCAAGGACUAAUAAAGAAUAUAAGUUUAGUAAUUAAAUAGAUAACUUAGUGUACCCUUAAAUAUCAGGUGGCGACACUCUUUCAUCAUUGACAAAGAAACCACAUGUUGAAUCCUGUUUUGACUUGUGCAAAAUAGGGUGCAAAGACUCGAUCGGUCGUUUUGUGUAUUUGAGCCUUAUUUCCCUAAUGCUUCCCGUACGUGUAUUUGUUGUUAUGUGAUAUGUGGGGAUGAUUGGUUUGGUUUUGAGGAGGUUUUGGAUUGAAUUGAAACACAUAAUUCUAAGAUUGGAAACGUUUAUAAGAGUUGACUGUGGUUUCAAUUUUGUGUAAACAACCCCGGAAUACUAUUUUGAUGGUUACAAUAGGUUCGUAUGGUGAUUUUGAACAUAGACGUAUGUCUAGGUUCCUAGGUUGAUUUGAUUCUUUUUGGUAAAGUUGGAUAUUUGAAGGUUAAGAAGUUAAUAGAUUUGAUUAGGAGUUAAGUUUGAGGCUAUUAGGUUAGGACUGUUGUUCCAUGAGUUGUAAUAGGUUUGGUAUGUUAUUUGGAACUUCUGUGAAAAAAUUAGAGCUAUUACGAGUUGGAUAGCCAUGGUUCGGCAUGAGUUUUAGAAUUUUGAAAGUUGAUUAGUUCAUUAGGACUGAAUGGAAUGCAACUUGUGAUUUUUAAGUUGUUUUGUGUGAUUCAAGACCUCGAGUAGAUCUGUGUUAAGUAUUGGGAUUGGUUGGUAUGUUUGAAAUGGGUCCCUAGGGACUCUUAAGUGUUUCGGUUGGAUUUCGGAUCAUUUUAAUGAAGUCUAGAACUGCUGAAGUUGUUGCUGCCCCGUGCGCUUCGUGACAGUUGAGCAGGUCUCGUGAACGCGAAUGCUAUCUUGAGGUAGUGUGAUUUUUUAUUCUUUGCGUUCGCAAAGAAGGCAUCAUAUUCAUGGUGAAUUCUAGCACUUGGUAUUCGCUUUCACGUCAUUGGCAUUACGUUAGUGUAGAAGGAUGGAAUGAUGGGGGCAAGCUAGAGCUAAGCCUUAGUGUUUGCGAGAGGCUUACCACAUUCACAUAGUUAAGGAAAGAUCAUGCAUCGUGUUUGGGACUUUGAGUUGUUAUUUUCGAGACUUUGAGUUUAUUUUAUCAUAUUAGAUUGGGAGCUCGGAUUAGGACAAUUUGAGAUGAUUUUUACCCACUUGGAUUGGGUAAGUGUUCUUAACUCAGAUUUGAUUAUUAUUCAUCACUCCAUCCUUGAAUUUGCUUUUGACUGAUGAAACUAAGUGAGAAAAUCAUAGAUUUUGGAAAAACUUUUCUAAAAUGAAAAAUAGAGAUUUGAACCCCCAACGCAAAGUUGGAUUUGGAAGAAACUUGUAUAUUUUGACUCAUAUUCAAAUGGGUUGUCGGGAUUUGGGACUUUUUUCGAGUUCCGGGAGGAGAGCCCGUGUUGACUUUUUUGGUAACUUUUUUAUAUAUGUUAAAGUUUGGAGCUUUAUUACUUGGAAUCUAUUUCUAUAGUCGUUUUUUAUUUAAGUUGUUUUUUGCUAGAUUUGACCCAUUCGAUGGACGGUUCUAGAGGCUAGGGCUUUUUAUUGUGUUGAAUAUGCUUAUUCGAGGUAAGUAUCUUAACUAAUAAUGUGUGGGAGUACCCCUUAGGAUUUUCCUUAGUUAUUUAUUCGUGUGACAUGAAAAGCGAUGAGUCUAUGCGGUGAUGAACGUGCACCCGGUACUAUAUUUUGAUUAUGAUCGGAUUAGACCAUAGGCUAUUAAUAUACCUUAAUUUGAGAUUGUUUUUUAUAUGAAGCUUUCUUAAUCACUUUGUGGCAACGUGAUCAUGAUCAUUACAAUUGUUUUAGCCUUAGUAAUAACUUAUAUGUUUAACACCUAUCCAUAUUUUACUUUUUCAUAUCCUUGUUCACCUUGUUGAUAAAUUAUGAGCUUAUAUCUUAGAUGAGAUUUUGACAUAUUUGUUGUGUGAUAAUUGUGGUACAUGUGGAUAUGUUGAGCAGAUUGAUUGGGUGUUGGUAUUUACCAUGUAAUUGUGAUUAUUGUUGUACGUGGGGGCGAAAUAAGGGUGAUAAUAUGUGCAUGUAGCAAAAUAAAGGUGGCAUUUAUUGUUAUUUGCACAUAUGGCGACAUAAGGUUGGAACUGUUGAUGAUGUUAUGUGGUGAUAUAGGGAUGUUUCUCUUGAUGAUGUCUAUGUGUUGAAACAUGGAUGAUAUUUUGUCACAUAGUUUUUUCUUAAAACUCUAUCAUGUAUUUUAAUGAGUUGUUAGUUGAAUUUGACAUGCCUUCUCUUCUGUUUGAUGAUUUGUUGACAGAGGGGAAUCUUAUACAUUGAGUUGUAUCACAUGUUCCAACAAGAUUAUUAUAUUAUUUUUCAUUUCAUAUUAUAUUGCCUAUUAUUGAUACUUUUCAUAGGUUAUUUGACUAGUGAGUAUCAUAUGACUUAAACUUCAUCACUACUUCACUGAGGUUAGUCUUGCUACUUACUAGGUACUAAUUCUCGUGCUUUCUUUUUCUCGCAAAAUCGGGUUUCGACAUUUCUGUGACAACUCCUUUCUGAGAUAGUACAGAAUUGGAAUUGAAAGAGUCGCCACCUAACGAAUAAAGGUGUGUUAAGGCACCUAGAGCAGAUAACUCAUGUUGUACCAUUUUACAUCACUAGAGAUCGGGUAAGGGAUCGGAAUUACUUUGAGGGAAAGAUGUUAGGUACACUCGAGAUCCAUAAUGGUGAGUCCUGACCGAACUCAAAUUAUGAAUUAGUUUAAAGAAGCGAGAGAAAUAUUUAAUAGGAAUAGGGUGUCAUAUAUUUUUUUGCCUUAAGGAUCACCCCGUGCAACAUAAAUAAUACUUCAUAACUCCCUCGAGUCAGGGUGUUACUCAUAUUAUUUAGUGGAAGCAGACUAUUAUCUCCUGCUACUCGAUUAUUAUCUUUAAGUUGUUACCUAAAGUGCACUAGUUAAUUCUAAAUCGUACCCUAUGCGUGCACUACCCGUCCCAUGCCUAUGGUCUAGGAGGCUUUGGACCUCUAUUUAGGUAGUUAUUAUAGGCAUAGUUUCAAACACAAUUAAACCAAGUAUUGAACCUAUAGGCAGCGUUUCUAACAUAUAAUGGUUGAACGUAAUAAGAUACCUAUAGGCAUGAUUUCUAACAUACGAUAACUGAACAUAUAAUAGCACAUUGUUGGACCUAUAGGCAGGGAUUCCAACACAUUGCACGUAAUAACCUAUUGUUGGACACAACGGGCAAGUAAUGUCGAAUGGCUAGUUUCUUAGAAUCCAGAGGGAUUCCUAAGUAUCUAAAUGGAAGGUGUCCUUCAGUGAGUCCCAGAAUACUAAUUAACUGCUCUCUAGUAUGCUGUUGUAUUCCAGCCAAGUAAAUACCACUCUUGCUAAUAUUAGCCUGAAGACCAGAGGCUGCUGAGAACUGAGCAAAAGUGUUAUGCAAGAUUUGAAUAGACAUUUCAUCAGCUCUACAGAACAUAAGCAAGUCAUCAGCAAAACAUACAUGAGAAAUAUUAAGCUUCCUACACCUAGGAUGGAAAUUGAAGUUUCCAUCCUUAUGGAGUUGCUGCAGUAGUCUGUUUAAGUAUUCCAUGGCCAACACAAAGAGAUAAGGUGACAUAGGAUCCCCUUGUCGAAUACCCCUCUUAGCAUUGAAUGGAUUGGUGAAACCACCAUUCAUUACUAAGGAAUAAGAUACAGAAUAAACACAAGCCAUAAUCCAAUGUGUGAACUUUGCUGGGAAGCCCAUAUCAAUGAGAAUUUGUUGCAAGAAUGGCCAUUCUAAGGUAUCAUAAGCCUUUCUCAAAUCAACUUUGAGAACACAUCUAGGUGAGAUACCUUUCCUGGAAUACCCCUUAAAAAUUUCAUGGCUUAACAGAAUGUUGUCGACAAUACAUCUCCCAUCAAUAAAGGCUGAUUGUGCAGGUCCUACUAGAUCACCAAUGACAUCUUUCAUUCUUCUAGUAAGUACCUUGGAGAUAAAUUUAUAUAUUGUAGUGCAAUAGGCAAUUGGUCUGCAGUCUUUAACAGUAGAGGGUGAUCUGACCUUUGGAACAAGAGCUAUGGCUGUUGUGUUGAUCAUAUAGGGCAUUUCACAUGAAGAGAAGAAGACUUUAGUAGCAGAAAGAAUGUCAUCCUUAACCAGUUCCCAGUUUUUGGUGAAGAACUCUACUGGAAUACCAUCAACCCCUGGGGCCUUAUCUGAAGGCAUAUCCUUAAUUGCUGCAGUAACUUCCUCCAUUGUUACCUUUCUAAUAAGAAGUCUUUGUUGAUCAAGAGUAAGACAGUUUCCUUCCUUCAUAAUCUGAGAAUUUACACAAGGAAGUUCAGAUGCACAUUCUCCCAUUAAAGAGUGAAAUACCUUCAAGAAUUCCUAUUCAACAGAUAAAGGAUCAGUUAGUUUCAUUCCAGCUUCAGUAUAGAUGGAUGCAAUGUUGUUUUGCCCUGUUCUAAUCUUCCAUUGAGCAUGAAAGUAUUUUGUAUUUGAGUCUCCACAUUCAAUCCAUGUAGCUUUUGACUUCUGCCUCAAUACUUUUUCUUCUUAUAUAAUCGAAAAGGUUUAGGAUGCAAAGGCUUCUGCAUUCCAAAUUUAUCAAGAAUAGGGGAGUGAUCAAAUAUUGAAGGGUUCAAGUAAUCUGCUUCCAAGUGUCCAAACUGCUGCAGCCACUGAUAGUUACCCAGCGCCCAAUCAAUUUUACUGUAUACUUGCUUAUUAGACCAGGUGAAAUGCCAACUUUAGCUCUGAUGGCAGUCAGUUGGAGAUCAGAAAUAACUUCUUUGAAAUCCUUCACUUCAGCAUCUGUCACAAUAGAUCCAAUCCUGUCAUCAGAAUUGAGUACAUUAUUAAAAUCUCCACUUAUCAGCNNNNNNNNNNNNNNNNNNNNNNNNNNNNNNNNNNNNNNNNNNNNNNNNNNNNNNNNNNNNNNNNNNNNNNNNNNNNNNNNNNNNNNNNNNNNNNNNNNNNNNNNNNNNNNNNNNNNNNNNNNNNNNNNNNNNNNNNNNNNNNNNNNNNNNNNNNNNNNNNNNNNNNNNNNNNNNNNNNNNNNNNNNNNNNNNNNNNNNNNNNNNNNNNNNNNNNNNNNNNNNNNNNNNNNNNNNNNNNNNNNNNNNNNNNNNNNNNNNNNNNNNNNNNNNNNNNNNNNNNNNNNNNNNNNNNNNNNNNNNNNNNNNNNNNNNNNNNNNNNNNNNNNNNNNNNNNNNNNNNNNNNNNNNNNNNNNNNNNNNNNNNNNNNNNNNNNNNNNNNNNNNNNNNNNNNNNNNNNNNACAUCUACUUUAUUAAUAGCUAAGAAGUUUUUCAACUCCUUUUGCUUGUGAGGCUGAUUAAGCCCCCUUAUAUUCCAAGUUACUAUGAUCAUUUGGAAUGAGGCUCUACCCUUCAAGAUGGACCAGGGUCAAUUUUGUAGCUACUACUUACAGUCUCAUUCAUGAUAGCCUUACCAUUAUUGCCAUGGUCAGUCUGCUGUUCACUAUCAACAUUAGCAGAAUCAGCAAUAGUGAUUGCAUUUUCUGAGCUGACUAAAGGACCAGGUUAAGUAUGCAUAGUUUGCUGUGACCUACUUGCAGAAAUAUCAAUCAUCAUAUGAGAGUGCUGCAUUAACUGACCCUCUGCAGUGUUAGCAGGGUCCACAAGACUAGGCUGCUCAGCAACAGUCUGCUUUGCAAUCCAUUCAGUUCUGAUGUGUUUCUUCACAAGACUAGGCUACUCAGCAAUAGUCUGCUUUGCAAUCCAUUUAGUUCUGAUGUGUUUCCCCUACUGAUUCCCCUGCUGAUUCACUUUCCCUCUUUGCCUUGGAGGUUUGAUCUGAGCCUCCUUGCUCUGCACAGAUUGAUCAUCCUUAUAAUACCAGCACUCAAAUGCAUCAUGACCAAAUUUGAGACAAUGAUUACAAAAGGAAGGUUUCCAAUCAUAUUCAAUUGUCUGUAUCUUAGGGCCAUAAGGAGUGUCAAUGCUACUCAGCAAUAGUCUGCUUUGCAAUCCAUUUAGUUCUGAUGUGUUUCCCCUACUGAUUCCCCUGCUGAUUCACUUUCCCUCUUUGCCUUGGAGGUUUGAUCUGAGCCUCCUUGCUCUGCACAGAUUGAUCAUCCUUAUAAGGAGUGUCAAUCUCCAAUUGAUCCGAAAGAGAGUAGGCAGCAUCCACUUCAACAAGGACUCUAGCAAACGAAAUCUUCUCAUAAUAUGUAGUGUAUUUGUCUAUAUACAGUGGUCUACCAAUAGCACUAGCCAUCUUACUAAGUACUUCAGUAGACCAGUAACCAACAGGAAGGCCUGGGAAUCGAAUCCAAAUAGGCACAGUACUAAGCACAUCACUCUGAAAGUUGAAAUCAACUUCCCAUGGUCGGAGAACCAUUGGCCUAUUUCUAAAUGAAUAGGGACCUGACUGCAUGAUCAAUUCCUUAUCUUCAGAGCUACUGAAUCUAAAAAUACAGUAGCCAUCUGCAUGCAUGAGUACCUGAGGUUUGGUAACAAAAUUCCACACAUGGGUGACAAAAUUUUCCAUAGAUUGCUCAUUAGGUCGAUCUCCAAUUACGAAUCCAAUCAAUGCAUUUUGCCAAUAAUCCACUUGUGGUUGUUGCUCAUUAGGACGAUCUCCAAUUACGAAUCCAAUCAAUGCAUUUUGCCAAUAAUCCACUUGUGGUUGCAGUUCUUCAAAACUAAUCUUAACAACUUUUUUCCCCUCUCGCUCAAUAGGAGGAACAAAUGAGAGUUGUUUGCCCAUUUGUCUGUUGCGAUUGCCUCGCACCACAUCCGCAACUGUUGGCUUUUCCACAUGCAUCUCCUUUGAUACCUCCUCAGCAACAAGCUUUGCUUUCUCCGCAUGCAACUCCUUUGAAUCCUCCUCAGCAACUAGAUUAGUGAAUUGUAAUCGCUUUACAGCAACAGGUGAUACUGCUUCAGUUUCCGUCACUGGGAUCUCGCGAGUAACUGUCUCUGCAUGGGUCAUCGAUUGAAGUUUUUGAGGCAGAAAACUGCCAAAAACGUCGAAAGCUGCCUUGCUAUCGUGCGCCAGAAGUUCUCACUGUUCUAUUGCAUUACUAAUGUGCGCCGAGAGCACCCCCAAGUUGGAGUUAGUUCAUUUUUGGCUGUUUACAGCCCCCGCAAUCGGCCAAAAAAUAAUACAGCCAUGCAAAGCACAACUAUACUUCUUGAAGCAGUAAGGACAGUUGUUUCUUCACAUUUCUCCAAUCAGUCAUUGUUUCCUAUCUUUACUCUGUCCAUUUCCCCUUUUUCCCUACCAUUCAAAUUAAUUUCCCUUCUUCUCUUCUUUUCUUUCUUUGUGUUCCACACUAAUUCACCUUAUUAAAUGUGCAAUGAGCACGAUAAUGUUCAUAAAUAAAAUUCUCUUGGAGUUGCGACUGUGGUGGAAUGACCUGGGGGAAGCAGGCAAUACUGGGCUGUUGAAAAUUAAUCCAAGGGGAGAUCUCGUAAAAGCAUCGAUCACAUUUUGAGACUCGGCUCAUAAUGUCUUCCAUUUCUCGGAUUUUGAACUCACACCGGCGUUGGAGGAAAUAACUGGAUAUAUUGGGACCCCUGCGAUUCCUUUGAGACACCAAUACCUGAUUGUGCCAAGAACCCUUUCCGUACUGGACUCCUUAAAAAUUAGUAGAAAGGUUUACUAUCCAGACCUGUCAGCCGACUUCUGCACCCUGCAGUUUAUAUAUUAGAGGCACGGACAUAUAGUGGGAUUCAAUAACCCCAAAAACCAUAUCUGUAGCAAAGGAAAUCAGCUCAAGUGGGAGGAGCCUCGAUGUUUUGCAUUCAUGGUAUUUUUCUUGGGUAUUCUGGUGUUUCCGUGAAAGGACGGGAAUAUUGACAUACGGAUAGCAGGGGCUGGCCAAACCCUCGCUCCGAUGAUCUUAUCUGAAACCUUCCGUGCUCUUACCGCCUGUAAAGCGAGAGGAGACUUCUUCGAAGGAUGUAACUUGUUGCAAAUAUGGAUAAUCGAGCAUCUAUGCUACCGACCUCGGUUUAUGAAUUAUGGGUCACCACAAAGAGCUGCAUAGAAGAAUUUUGCAACAGGGUUGAUGGUUUGAGAGUACCUGAGGUGUCACAGAAUGGGUGUCACAUCUCCAGGUCGUCACUGCAAAUCAGAUAGAAUGGACAUUGGGGUGGCUCCUUGUGGAUAAAGUAGUGUAUAUGCCAGCCACCGGGCCUCAUUUCCUUCUGAUGGAUCUCCGAAGUAUCCAGCCCUAUGCGCCAUACAGAGUAAUAAAAAAUUAGGUAGAUGCCAAAUGAUCCCCAGGGACUAGGAUAGUAGUCGCCAUGUGGUUGAGAUAAUCCCCAAUGGUCAAUUCCCUGAAGACAUCGUACGUCAGAUUUGGAGUGAAUGCCAAUACUUGACAGCGGGAACCCGAGUACACGACAUAUCUAAUGGCGAGGUUGCACUGGGAUACAUUUCUUGGUAUGGAAAAUAAAUAGAGCCUGGAAGGCCGGUUAAACGACCGCAUCUCCAAGAAUUUGUUGAAACAUCACAAGAGCAAUGGGAUUGGCUUGCCAAGGAGAAUGAAUACAAGGACACUAUAGGAAGAUUGGAAAAGAAAAUCAAAGAGUUGAAAUUCGAAAAUGGAUUGCAAGUCGUAGCCAAUGAGGGAGAAAAGAAGAUAUUAACCAAAGAAAAUGAAGCAGUACGAGCCAAAUCCAGAAAAUGAGAGCAGCCGCAGAAAAUCCCGCCAGAAACACAAAAGAUGAAAAAACUCUAAGAAAAUUUGUGGCGGAAAGUAACCGAGUAUAGGUUUGACUUGAAUAAGGCAGAAGGUGAGCUAUCCAGGGUUCGGAAGCAAUUGGAUAAAAGUGCGGAGGAACGAGCCCGCAUCCUUGAGCAAUUAAAAGAAGAGCAUAUCGAUGAGAUUGUUGGUUUAAAACGGAGGGUCAUCAUGACUGAGAACAAAAUGGACAAGAAAAUCGGGGACUUCAAAGCCGAAAGAGAACAUUCUUAUGCAGUGAUAGCAAGGUUGGAGAUGGAUUUGCGGCAAUUCCAGCAGUUGAAUCAGGUAGCAGAGUGAACUCUAGAGGUGAGGGCCGAGCAAAUUGGGGGUUUGUUUCAAGAAAAAAGUGUUAUUAGGUAAAGGAUACGGGUAAUCGCAGAUUACAUCACCACAAAGUGCAACCAUUGCGAGGAUAUGACGAGAUCCAUGUUCUUUGCCACCGCUACGACUUUUGUUCGGCAAGUGAUGGAGGACCUCCACCAUCUCCAAGGAGUUUAGCACGUAAGCCUACAGCGAGGCCGAAUGAUGCCCCAUGAGCAGUUGAAGUCUUAACGUAUUCAUGAUUUCUGAAAAAUUGUAUUUUCCUUAAAAGAGUCGGUCACUCCGUAUUUUCUUUUACACAUUAUUGGAGUAUGUAAGUUUUAUUAUGUCCAAGUCUGUUAGUUGCCUUUAACUUUGCUAGUUUUUGUAGCCAAGUUUUGUCUUUAUAAGAAUUAAAAGUUCUAAAAAUAUCUUGUUAUUUUCAUCGCACUUUCCAUGAACUACGCUCGGUAUGAAUCAUGCGGGGCAUGAUAUGUGGGCAAUCUUCAUAGGAUUCGAAUUCUUAAAAGAGGAAAACCAAAUCAAGGAAAUAAAAGGUAGAAACCAAAAGGAAGUUAAGAAUAAAUGCCGAGAUGACACAUGCGACCGUUGCAAACGUAUAGACACCCAUUAACUAUAUAGGUGCAUCAUACCCAACAUGCGAUUUCCUGUUUGUUAUCUAUCCCAACCUAACCAUUUGUUUAAUUCCAGUUUCUAGUCACAAGCUUUUAGAAUAGUGUUUGGUUUGUGGUAAACUGGCAUCGUAUCGAUAUUUCACCAGAUCAAAAGGAAGCGCAGAAAUUUCAUCCAAAAUGACUUUGCCAGCAAUUCCCAUCUCAUAGGAUAGCCCGAUUGUAGGGAUCCCGGCCUCAGAAUCUACUGCAGGUGAAGACAAUAGGAUCCUUCGACUCAGAGUCAUGGAGAUGUGGGACGCUUGGAAAACGGAAGAGAGCCUGAGAAUGCCAUCCCUGGAUUUCCUGAGCUCUUCCCAAGGUCGGGGGGUACCUCCACUAUCCCCAUUAGCCACCCAAACAUCCUCUUGGGACAGCCCACUAUACCAACCAACUUUGUCGGAACAUCUUCUUAAGCCCGCCCUCAGGUGUUCACCUCUAGAAUAGUUCCUAAUAUUUUUACGGCUCCCCCAUGUGCAGCCACCACACAGCCCCCAGUACCAAGACCCAUGUUUGAUCCCACAGCUUUCACAUUUCAAACUCUCAAUUACCAAACUGAGCCUCUCCCAUACCCCACAUACACUUAUCCUCAACCAGCGUAUGAGCUCACACCAGUGCAGGAUAAAACUCUUAAAACGCCUGAACAAGAUGAGAUAGCAAGAAGGAUGAAAAGCCUUGAGCAGAGCUUGAAGAACAUGCAGGGCUUGAGUGGGCAAAAGAGCGUUUCUUACACAGAUCUGUGAAUGUUCCCGCAUGUACAUAUUCCCCUAGGAUUUAAUAUGCUGAAGUUUGAAAAGUACGAUGGUCAUGGCGACCCCAUUGCUCAUUUGAAAAAGUACUACAACCAAUUGCGCGGGGCAGGUAGAAAAGAAGAACUAUUUAUGGCAUACUUCGGAGAGACUUUGGUAGGCAUCGCUUCUGAAUGGUACAUGGACCAAGAUAUCACACGAUGGCAUAUUUGGGAUGAUCUUCCCUAAGAUUUCUUAAGGCAAUUCCAGUAUAACAUUGACAUUGCCCCGGACAGAAAUUCCUUGGCCAAGUUGAAAAUAAAACCGUCAAAAUGUUUUAGAGAAUAUGUUGUCAAGUGGCAUGAGCAAGCAUCGAGAGCAAAGCCGUCCAUGAAUGAGACAGAGAUGGUCACUGUUUUUAUCCAGGCACAGGAAGCAAAUUAUUUUCAAAAUAUGAUGUCAUCAAUGGGCAAACCUUUCGCGGAAGCAAUCAAGAUCGGCGAGAUGGUAGAGAAUGGCUUGAAAACGGGAAGAAUUCUGAGCCAGUCAGCCAUAAGGUCAACCUCCCAGGCCAUCCAAAGCGGGGCAGGAGGAGUCGCAAGAAACAAAAAGAAAGAAGAAGCUUCAAUGGCAGCCUCCGGUAUGAGAAGACAACAUUCACCCAGGCCCAUGUUCUCAAAAAAAACCACUCAACACUAUUAUCCUCAUCAAGACAUGCAUUAUGUUCUCCAACCUUAUGCAGUUAUGAAUUCCCAGUCAUUUGCUCGACCACAACAAUAGGUCAACAGAAACCAGGCCCCGAGAAAUCAACCUCCCAAAACCACUAUAAUCCCGGCCCUCCCCAAAAUAGUUUCUGGCCUAGGGAGCCGGCCAGAAGAAAAAACUUUACACUGAUAGGGGAGCCUUAUUCCAGCUUAUUCCCAAAACUUGUCCAGAUGAGUCUCUUGCAGCCCGUGCCCCCCAAUAGGCAGAACCCUGAGUCACCUUCUUAUCAACGGGGUGUACGCUGUGCUUAUCAUUCAGGAGCCGAAGGACACACACAGAAAAUUGUUGGACCCGAAAGCAAGCUGUGGAGGAUCUAAUAGAAUAAAGGAAAAUAGUGUUGAGAGAUGAAGAUGUCCCGAACAUAACUAAUAACCUGUUGCCGACUCUCAAUUACGGGCAGUCAUCGGGAUGAUUUAUGAGGAUAAUGAAUUUGACCUUGAUUUGAAAGCCAUAAUCUCCAUUUCUGAUGCAGAUAGAAAAACAAAGGUUACCCCCAAGAAGGUUAAAGAAAAGGAAAUGAGUGAAGCCAAGCACCCGGAAGCAGAGAAGAAGGUUGAAACUAAAACUGAGACGGCACGCGCCAAGGAAACCAUCCUUUACAUCCCACGAUGUCGUCAAGAGCAAUAGCCAACUCUGAGAUCCCCAAGAAGAUUUGAGUUGAACAGGAUGAUAUACGUACCCAAGGGAGCUUAUGUGGUGCGGGGACCGAUUGAACCGCCAAGGCUGCAUAAGCCUGUAGUAAUCAGUCGCGUGCCUCAGAAGCCAAUGACAGACCCUUUUACGGUCCCGUGAAACUACCAAGAAACAACAGUAACACAGAAAGGCAAAGAGAUCAAUGGGGAAACUCAAAAGGGCCACCCUGGAAAGAAAUAUUCGGACCUGGAAGAAGUGAAAAAUGUCACCAAAAGGCGAUUCCCACCCAAAAAGCCCGUAAAUGCUGAAGAGGUGGAUGUCUUCUUUCGAAAGAUGAAAAUGUCGGAUUAUAAGGUAGUGGACCAGCUCCAUAAGUCUCCCGAGCAAAUCACUUUAUUAUCAUUGCUGAUGAAUUCUCCCGAGCACCAGAAAGUGUUAUCCAAAACAUUAAAUGAAGCUUACGCGCCGAUUCAAACCUCCGUGGAACAAUUGGAGAAAAUGGCAGAAAGAUUAUUCGCUAUUAAUCAGGUUACAUUCAGCAAGAAUGAUUUGCCUCCAGAGAGAGCUGUCCACAACAAAGCCUUGCAUCUCACCGUCAAAUGUGAAGGUUAUUACGUCAAAAGAGUAAUGAUAGAUGGAGGUUGCAGGGUGUACAUAUGCCCACUGUCAACAUUGCAAAGAAUGGAAAUCGGAACAGAGAGGAUCCGUCCCACCAAUGUGUGUGUCCGAGAUUUUGAUGGAAUUAAAGAGAUACCAUAGGAGAAAUUGACUUGGUAUUAACCAUUGGUCCGGUCGAUUUUGAAGUUACAUUUCAAGUAUUAGAUAUGGACACAUCCUACAACUAUCUCCUAGGAAGACCAUGGAUUCACGCAUCAGGAGUUAUGCCUUCUACUCUGCACCAUGAACAUGAGAACCAGGAAAUUAUGGUCCAUGGAGAAGAUGAACAGUCAAUUUACCGCGAUCCUUCCAUUCCCUGCCUCAAAGCUAAAGAAGGAAGUGAGCAUAUAGUUUACCAGGCUUUUGAAAUCAUGGUAGCUGACCAACUUGAAGAAGGCAAACCAUUUCCCCAUCCUUUCCUCUCCAAUGCCUCAAUCAUUGUGGAAAAAGAGAUGAUACGUCAAGGGUUUAAACCAGGCAAGCGACUUGGAAGUUCUCUACAAGGCAUAACUGAGCCAAUCGCUUUGCCUGCCGCAAAGAAGCUUUUUCGGCUAGGUUUCCACCCAACACCAGGGGAUAUAACUUGGGCCAACCGUGGGAAACGUCAUGGAUGAGCUUUACCAUAACCCCUACCCCACUUAUACGAAAAUUUGUGAAGCCAAAGUACAACGAGGAAGAAGAAGAUGAGACCUUAACAACGGAGGAAAUUAAAGAAAUAUGUGGGGCCAUGAGAAAAUUAUUGUAUGAAGCCAACAUGGUCCAGCUUGGAGAAGGCUCAAGGACUGCUGAGGUGCUCUAUAUGGGACCGGAUGCCAAGUUGCAAAACUGGAAGGCUACGCCUUUCCUAGUUAGGCGGGAGGCUCGGUAGUCCUGCCUUGCCACUUUUUCGUGCAUCACGAGUUAUUUCAGGGUGUAGCUUGGGUGUUUUUCUUUAGUAUUUUUUCCUUUAAAUUCCAAAUGUAAACCCUGUUACCUUACAAUUUCAAAGAAAUGAAAUCAAUAUUUCAUCGUCAGCACUCCUCCUUUUUUUGUGAUUUUGUUUUUCUUCUAUUUCAUUUUUCUUUCAGUUCCAAUAAUGCUGUUUUAAAUAAUAUGACAUGCUCACGGACUCCAUGCCUCUAACUGAACAUGCUGGCUAUUUGUGAAAUAAUGAACCGAACCAGAGUAUGCUGGAGAAGAGGCUUUUAGGGAAAUCAACUGAGAGUUGGAAAAUUUUGAAAAUAAACCUAAGCUGAACUUAAAUGAUACCUAACCGAUUAACUUGGGUAGUCCCGAUGAAACCAGGGAAACUAAAAUAAGCAUCCAUAUGAAUAAAGAAAUUUGGGACUCACUGGUCCAGCUUAUUUUGGAAUUCAAGGACGUGUUUUCUUGGUCUUACGAUGAUAUGCCUGGGCUAAGCGUUGAUUUGGUGGUUCAUAAGUUGCCCACGUAUCCCGAAUGCCCUCCAGUCCAACAAAAACAAAGAAAGUUCAAAUCUGAUAUCAUCGUUAAGAUCAAAGAGGAGAUCACAAAACAGUUAGAGGCGAGGGUAAUCGGAGUGGUUCGAUACACCACAUGGUUGGCCAAUGUGGUCCCGGUACCGAAGAAAGAUGGGAAAACCCGAGUAUAUGUAGACUACAGAGAUCUGAACAAGGCGAGUCCCAAAGACAACUUCCCUUUGCCUAACAUCCACAUCCUUGUUGACAAUUGUGCCAAACACGAGAUACAUUCCUUUGUAGAUUGUUACGUCGGAUAUCACCAUGUGUUGAUGGAUGAGGAAGCCGCCGAUAAAACUAUCAUUACCACACCUUGGGGGACUUAUGGUUACAGGGUUAUGCCUUUUGGUUUGAAGAAUGCCGAGGCAACCUAUAUGAGGGCUAUGACUACCAUUUUUCAUGACUUGAUGCAUCAGGAGAUAGAAGUAUAUGUGGACGAUGUGAUUAUCAAGUCCAAGACUCAUGGUGAUCAUGUAGGGGAUUUAAGAAAGUUUUUCGAAAGGCUUCGCAAGUAUGAUUUGAAAUUGAAUCCAGUCAAGUGUACAUUUGGGGUCCCGUCAGGCAAACAUCUAGGAUUCAUUGUCAGCAGAAGAGGUAUUUAGCUGGAUCCGACCAAGAUAAAAUUCAUUUGAGAGCUACCUCCUCUAAUAACCAAGAAGGAUGUAAUGUGCCUGUUGGGAACAGUGAAUUACAUAAGCCGAUUCAUCGCCCAGCUGACUUCUACAUGCGAGCCCAUAUUCAAGCUAUUGAAAAAGGACGCAGCAAUUGAAUGGACCAACGAGUGUCAAGAGGCUUUCGACUGAAUCAAAAGCUACCUGUCCAACUCACCAGUCUUGGACCCUCCCAAACCGGGAAGGCCAUUGUUUCUUUAUUUAACAGUCCUGGAGAGCUCUUUUGGUUCCAUUCUCGGGCAGCAUGACGCCACGGGAAAGAAGGAGAAAGCCAUCUAUUAUUUGAGCAAGAAGUUUACCAGUUACAAGGCCAAAUACACGCUGCUAGAAAGAACCUGUUGUGCCUUGAUCUCUGUAGCCCAAAAGCUGAGGCACUACUUGCAAGCCCACACCAAACAAGGCUGGACCCAUUGAGUUAUAUAUUUCAAAAAUUAGUGCCCACAAGGCGAUUGUCAAAAAUGGCAAAUCCUGCUCACCAAGUUUGACAUAGACUAUGUCACUCGUACCGAGGCUCAACCAUUAGCGGAUCAGCUAGCCGAAUAUCCAAUUGAUGAUUAAUAUCAACCUUUGGAUAACUAUUUCCCUGAUAAAGAAGUGAAUUCGGUAGAUGUAACAUCUGAAGACAUCCCUGCUUGGAAAAUGUUUUUCGAUGGAGCAAUAAAUGCGAAAGGCAUAAGAAUUUGGGCAAUUUUAAUCUCACCCACUGGUCAACAUUACCCGGCUACAGCAAGGCUUCUGUUUUUCUGCACCAAUAACAUAGUUGAGUAUGGGUGGCUCAGAAGCUGAGACAUUACUUGCAAGCCCACACCACCUACCUCAUAACCAGGGUAGACCCGUUUAGGUAUAUAUUCCAAAAAUCGAUGCCCACAGGGCGGUUGGAAAAAUGGCAAAUCCUGCUCACCGAGUUCGAAUAGUCUAUGAAACUUGUACCGCAAUGUAGGCUCAAGCAUUAGCAAACCAUCUAGCCGAGAAUCCAAUUAACGAUAAGUAUCAACCUUUGAAUACCUAUUUUCCUGAUGAAGAAGCAAUUUCGGUGGAGGUAACAUCUGAAGGCAUUUCUGCUUGGAAAAUGUUUUUCGAUGUAGCACUAAAUUUGAAAGGCGUAGGAAUUGGUGCAAUUUUAAUCUCACACACUGGUCAACAUUACCCGACUACAGCAAGGCUCUGGUUUCUCUACACCAACAAUACAGCUGAAUACGAGGCUUGCAUCAUGGGCAUGAAUAUAGCCAUCGACCAAAACGUUGAGGAAUUGUUAAUCAUGGGGGAUUCAUACUUGAUCAUCCAGCAAGCCCAAGGAAAGUGGGAGACAAGAGAUGUUAAACUCAUCCCCUAUCGACAUCAUGUAGAGGAUCUCAGCAAAUGGUUCAAGUCGAUACAAUGCAGGUACAUUCCUCGUUGUCACAAUGAGUUAGCAGACGCACUCGCAACUCUGGCUUCCACGUUACCUUACCUUGGAAACGCCUACGUCGAUCCUUUGGAAAUCCAAAUCAAGGAAAGACAUGGGUAUUGCAAUGUGAUCGAGGCAGAAUCCAACACCCAGCCCUAGUAUUUUGACAUCAAGAAAUUUCUGAAGACACCAGAGUAUCCUGAGCAGGCUACAGGGGAGCAAAAGAAAACCAUCCGACGGCACGCGAGUAGUUUCUUCUUAAGUGGUGAUACCUCAUACAAAAAAAUCCCGGACCUCAACUUGCUAAGAUGCCUCGACGCCAAGGAAGCAGGGAGAAUUAUGCAUAAAGUACACGCAGGAGUGUGUGGACCUCAUAUCCCGGCAUAACCCGCGGAUUUCCCUAGCAUAACCUAGGAUUUUUCUUCAAAUCUCGGCAUAACCCGCGGAUUCCCCUGGCAUAACCCAGAAAUUUUUCAUUUAAUCCCUGCAUAACCCGCGGAUUUCCUUAGCAUAACCUAGGAUUUUUCUUCCAAUACCGGCAUAAACCGUAGAUUUCUCUAGCAUAACCUAGGAAUUUCUCUUUCCAAUCCCGGCAUAACCCGUGGAUUUCCCUAGAAUAACCUAGGAAUUUCUCUUUCCAAUCCCGACAUAACCCAUGGAUUUCCCUAGCAUAACCUAGGAAUUCUUCCAAUCCCGGUAUAACCGGCGGAUUCCCCGGGCAUAAUCCAGGAAUUUCUCUUUCCAAUCCCAGUAUAACCCGCGGAUUCCCCUGGCACAACCCAGGAAUUUCUCUUCCCAAUCCCGGCAUAACCCAUGGAUUUCCCUAGCAUAACCUAGGAAUUUCUCUUUGCAAUCCCAACGUAGCCCGUGGAUUUCCCUAGCACAACCUAGGAAUUUCUCUUUCAAAUCCCAGCAUAACCCGUGGAUUUCCCUAGCAUAACCUAGGAAUUCUUCCGAUCCCGGCAUAACCCGCGGAUUCCCCUGCCAUAACCUAGGAAUUUCUCUUUCCAAUCUCGGCAUAACCCGCGGAUUGCCCUGGCAUAACCCAGAAAUUUCUCUUUUCAAUCCCACCAUAACCCACGAUCCCCUGGCAUAACCCAGGAGCCUUCUCCUUUUCAAACCCCAGCAUAACCCGUGGAUUUUUCUUUUCAUCCCCAGCAGGGACCCUCCAUUACCAUCACGGCAUAACCCGUGGAUCCUCCUCUUAUCCCCAGUAGGGACCCUUACUCCUUUCCAGCAUAACCUGGUAAUCUUUCCAAAGGAUACACAAUCCCGACUUUUAUUGUUUUUCAAUAAAGAAAUAGCCCAAAUUUGUGUUGCAGAUAACUCACGAAAUUUUUCCAGUAAAUACUGGGGCAAAAAGUUUCAUUCGUUUGUUUGUUUUUGGUGUCCAAGUAAGUUUUACCUCAAGACACAGGAUUCAAGGAGACCAAGAUCGUAAAGUCUCAAUCAAAGAAAAGCAGAAAAGAGCAAAGAUGCGAACUCAGAAGGUUCAAAGGAGGAAAGGAUGCAGACAACUCAAAAUUUUGAUUAAAGUCACAAGUCUCGUAUGUCAUGCUCCAGUCCAAUGCUGAAACAAAAACUAGCACCUACAACGUGUGAGCGUUAAGAUUCAGAUCGAGGUCUACAGCAAAAUCAGCUAAGAAUCAAGAUCAAGCGUCAAGAGAUGUAUAUAUAGGAAUCUUGUAACCCGUUGUUGAUAGGCGUAGCUAUCUUAGCUUUUGACUUUCUUUUGAUGUAAUAAGGGGUCAGUAAGCAGUAGCAGCAGCAUCAGCAGUGAAAUCACCGCUCAUGGUAGUCCCAUCUACCAAACAGUCCAGAACUACACUGACCUGAUACCUUUAUAGCCAAGGAUAUGUAGGCAACCUUUAAAUCAAGGUUCGGUCGCAAAUUUUUCAAAAUGCUUCACACGGAAUAUUCAGACGGGAAAAAAUUACUCGUAUUUGCACACUUAUCUUUGCACAAACUCUUCAUGUUUCCGAGAAAAGAGGGGCAGCUGUGAGCACGUGAUUUUUGCCUCAUCAAAAUUACUCCUAAAUAAUCCCAUAAUUAGGAUUUCUCCUUUUAUAAUUCAAUUUUGGAUUUAACCGCGCAUGUUUGUGUAAAUGUUAUUGGUGCAUACAUGGUAAGUCAAACACAAAAAAUUGCAUAAGCAUUUAGGAUUUAAUUUUACAUAAUUUAUUAGAAUUAAUCGGUAAUUAAAGUUUUGUUUUGCGAAAUAUAAAAAUCACAAAGAAAGCUUUGAUUUUUUUUAAUUUUUCUUUUUUAUAUAAUAGUAGUUUAAUUGUGACUUAAUAGUUUUGAAUAACUUUUCAGGUCUAAUUAUAGUUGAUUUUUUUUGAAACACUAAUUGAAUAAUAGGUAAUUAAAAAGAAAAAAUGAUGAAAAGAAAAGAAUUAAAAAAGAUGAAUCAAGCUAGCCUCAAUUGGACCCAAAUCUGGAUGGCCUAAACACCCCUACCCAUCCAAAAACGCCGUAUAAUCGGCCCAAACCCGUCCCUGAACCUUCUGUCAUUAGAGACGCCCCAAAACGACAUCGUUUUGGGGCAAACAAUCUCAAUAGUUCAUUAGCCAUGAUCCAAUGGCUUGGGUUCGAUGUGAGUGUUACAUAAAAGUGUCCGAAUUAUAUCAAACCCUAGAGACCAAAUGCCUCUUCCUCGUACCCUUCGUCUCCACUGAUACACCGCCUCACAGCUGCCGGCCAAAAAUUAUCUCCGCCGGCGGCAAAGAUCCAAUGCCUCCCAAAAACACAUCCCUGAACCACCAUUCCCACCUCUUUCCGAUGCCCUAAAAACCAAGCUUCAACAAUAAGUCAAACAUCUUGAAUAUAGAGAUUCAUGGACGCCGCCUCCGCUGCCUAUGGCGGUGCCACCACUAGAACCCUCCAAAAAUAACACCCUAGGUUCCUCACCCCAUCCUCAUGACAGAUCCGGCUUCAAUUUCUUUCAAACCUCAGCCAAUCGUUUUAAAUAUUCAUCCAAAACUCCAACCAAAUCCUAAACUUCCCCGGAAUUCCUUGAAAUUGACACCAUACAACCCUUUUACCUCCCUCUCCAUAAACCUAUAUAUAACCCUCGAAUACAGCUGGUCCUUGACAAAAAUCAAAUAAAAAAUUGGUCUGAAGACCAACCCAUCCCAAACCAAGCCAAUCUUACACUCGGUACCGUUUGUACUCUCCUCCUCUCACAUGAUUGCUCAGCCUCUCUCAAAUGGCAAAAUAUCAAAUUUGAAAUCAAAGAUGGCCAGAAACUCGCAAAAUACAAAGGUCAUGGGUUUGGGGUGGUGCUGGUUAUUAAUCCAAGUUUCCUAUCUAUUAUUGUAUUCUUUUCAUUUUUUGUGAUUUUAUGUUUUAUUCUACUUGCUCAUCUGAUAAUAAUUUUUCGUUAGGUUACUUGGAAUUUUGUUUCAUUCAGAAUUAUGUGCCUCUCUUUAAGGUCGUUGAUAAUCCGCUUUGAAUGAUUUCUUAUCGACUGGAUUUCUAGAUUUUUCUUUCUUUUUAGAUUAAGUCACUCUGUUAUUCUGGGUUAGUUCAAAGUUGUUCAUCUUUUCCCUGGUUUGAUUAUUUCUUCGUCUAUACAUGAUUGCUUCUGAGUUUUUAUUUUUUCUUGGUUUUUGAUUGACUUAAUCUUGCAUUUCUGGGUGUUAGUUUGAUUUAUCCUUAAGUCUGGUUAUGUGCUUCAUUGAUUUCGACUUUUUAGUAGUCCCCUAUGGUCACUAAUUAGCUAAUAUUAGUUUAUUAUGAUUAAUGUAAUUUGGUUUUGAUUCUGGUCAGAAAUGGGGGUAGUAUAGUCUCUGUCUUUGUUAAAAUUGAAUGGUUAGCCAGCUCAGUUUAUUAAGGUUUAACCCCAGUUGAUAAUUAGAUUAAGAUGUUUUUCAUGGUUUAUUGCCUUGAGUGGUUAGCUAUAGUCAAUAUCUGAACCAGGAUGAAAAUGGUGAGGCUGAGUAAUUGAAAAUAAAAGACAGGGGUAAUAGGGGUAUUUCGGCAUAGGAAUCUUGCAACAAACCCCUGGAACCUUCUAGUUGGAGGUUCAAAGACCAAUUUCUGGUAAUUCUCUAAUAAAACUUGAGGCAAAAGUUAGGAAACAAGGGACUAAUUGAGCAAUUCUAAGAAAUCGGAAAAGGACUAAUGAGAAAACAAAAAAAGGGGGUUGCCCUAAGGCUUUGGCUAUAAAAGGCAUCUUAGUGCCUUCAUGAAGGUGGAGAUCAUCUGGAAAAUCCCUAGAAAUAUUCCAAGCUCUCCUGUUCUAAAGCUCCUAGCAAAAUUUCCUAAUAACUUCCAUAUCAUUAGAAUUAUAGCUAUAUAAAAAUGAAGAUAUAUUGAGGCAUGUGUGUUUAGAGUGUAGAGAUUUUGGAACCUAUCCUAGGCAUUGAUCUCAAGCUGAAUUGUGUUUUGUUUGAGCUGCAUGGUUUGAAUUUGUUGGUGUAGUUGGUUUUUGAAACUUUCCUGGGUUUUCCUGAUACUAUUUCUGGGUUUAUAACUGGUCGAUCUGUUGUUGUUAUUGCUUCUUGCUUCCAUUUCUCAUAGGUGCUUUCUUCUUUGCUGUAAUUCCAAGUACACACACAUGAACCUGCUCUGAUGUAAACAUGAUAAGCAUCCAUGCAUUCUUCCUUUGAGCUGAGCCUUCUUAGCCUUCAAUAAUGUAGAACCAAGUAGUUUUAAACGAUUUGUGAUAUCUGAUGUAUCUUACUUCGAUUUACUUUUGUAAAAUUGAAACUAUGUAAUGUAUAACACUUGGGUUGUGCUGGACUGUUGCGAAUCACUUGAACUAUUCAAUUGCGAAUUAUUUAAAAUUUCAAUAGGGUGAAAUAUGGUAGUCAAUAAUCUGUUUGAUCCUCAUGUCUAAGUCAAUAAUAGAGAGUCAUCAUGUGUAUAUUUAUUCUGAUUCACAUUGCUGGGUCUAUCAAUUUAUAUAUGUCGAAUUUAAACUUGAGUU